CAGUAGCCACGGUAAUACAGAGGAUGCAAGCGUUAUCCGGAAUGAUUGGGCGUAAAGCGUCUGUAGGUGGCUUUUCAAGUCCGCCGUCAAAUCCCAGGGCUCAACCCUGGACAGGCGGUGGAAACUACCAAGCUAGAGUACGGUAGGGGCAGAGGGAAUUUCCGGUGGAGUGGUGAAAUGCGUUGAGAUCGGAAAGAACACCAACGGCGAAAGCACUCUGCUGGGCCGACACUGACACUGAGAGACGGAAGCUAGGGGAGCAAAUGGGAUUAGAUACCCCUGUAGUCCCUGUCUCUUAUAC
rnacentral:rRNA from 1 species